rnacentral:rRNA from 1 species
AGUUGGUUGAAAUGCGUAGGCGUUGAUUCGGUAGGCAAAUCCGCCGAUGAGCUGAAACAUGAUAGUACACUGAUCUCUUCGGAGUGAAGUGAUAGUGACUCCAAGCAGGCUUUCAAGAAAAACCUCUAAGCUUCAGAUAUGUACAGCCCGUACCGUAAACCGACACAGGUAGUCGAGGAGAAUAUCCUAAGGCGCUCGAGUGAGUCAUGGCUAAGGAACUAGGCAAAUUAGUCUCGUAACUUCGGGAGAAGAGACUCCCACAGCAAUGUGGGACGCAGAGAAAUGGCCCAGGCGACUGUUUAGCAAAAACACAGGACUCUGCAAAAUCGUAAGAUGAAGUAUAGGGUCUGACACCUGCCCGGUGCUGGAAGGUUAAGGAAGGGGGUUAGCGCAAGCGAAGCUCUUGACUGAAGCCCCAGUAAACGGCGGCCGUAACUAUAACGGUCCUAAGGUAGCGAAAUUCCUUGUCGGGUAAGUUCCGACCUGCACGAAUGGUGUAACGAUCUGGGCACUGUCCCAGCCAUGAGCUCGGUGAAAUUGAAGUAUCGGUGAAGAUACCGGUUACCCGCCACGGGACGAAAAGACCCCGUGCACCUUUACUAUAGCUUCACAUUGUGCUUGAAUAUAGGAUGUGUAGGAUAGGUGGGAGACUAUGAAGUGGUCACGCUAGUGAUUGUGGAGUCGUCCUUGAAAUACCACCCUUCCUAUAUUUAGGUUCUAACCCCGUAACCGGGGGACAGUGUGUGGUGGGUAGUUUGACUGGGGUGGUCGCCUCCUAAAGAGUAACGGUGGCUUGCAGAGGUACACUCAGCAUGGUUGGUAAUCAUGCGCAGAGCGUAUUAGUAUAAGUGUGCUUGACUGAGAGAUCGACGGAUCGAUCAGGGACGAAAGUCGGCUAAAGUGAUCCGGUGGUUCCGCAUGGAAGGGCCAUCGCUCAAAGGAUAAAAGGUACGCCGGGGAUAACAGGCUGAUCUCCCCCAAGAGCUCAUAUCGACGGGGAGGUUUGGCACCUCGAUGUCGGUUCGUCACAUCCUGGGGCUGGAGAAGGUCCCAAGGGUUCGGCUGUUCGCCGAUUAAAGUGGCACGUGAACUGGGUUCAGAACGUCGCAAGACAGUUCGGUCUCUAUCUGUGGUGGGCGUUGUAACAUUGAAGGGAGCUGACUCUAGUACGAGAGGACCGAGUCGGACGUACCGCUAGUGUAUCUGUUGUGCCGCCAGGUGCAGCGCAGAGUAGCUAUGUACGGACUAGAUAAGCGCUGAAAGCAUCUAAGCGCGAAGCUAUCCUUAAGAUGAGUGUUACAUGGGGUCGUAGAAGACUACUACGUUGAUAGGCUACAGGUGUAAGCGCAGUAAUGCGUUCCGCUGAGUAGUACUAAUUACCCCUAAGCUUC